rnacentral:rRNA from 1 species
AUUGAACGCUGGCGGCAGGCCUAACACAUGCAAGUCGGGCUAGCGGCGGACGGGUGAGUAAUGUAUGGGGAUCUGCCUGAUGGAGGGGGAUAACUACUGGAAACGGUAGCUAAUACCGCAUACCCUCAGAUGAACCCAUAUGGGAUUAGCUUGUAGGUAAGGUAACGGCUUACCUAGGCGACGAUCCCUAGCUGGUCUGAGAGGAUGAUUAGCCACACUGGGACGGAGACACGGCCCAGACUCCUACGGGAGGCAGAAGUGGGGAAUAGGGCAAAAUGGGCUCAAGUCUGAUGCAGCCAUGCAGCGUGUAUGAAGAAGGCCUUCGGGUUUUAAAGUACUUUCAGUCGGGAGGCGUUACCGACAGAAGAAGCACCGGCUAACUCCGUGCCAGCAGCCGCGGUAAUUC